rnacentral:rRNA from 1 species
CCCGCGACAAGCGGUGGAGCAUGUGGUUAAUUCGAAGCAACGCGUAAGAACUUACCAGGUCUUGACAUCCGAUGCUAUUUCUAGAGAUAGAAGUUACUUCGGUACAUCGGUGACAGGUGGUGCAUGGUUGUCGUCAGCUCGUGUCGUGAGAUGUUGGGUUAAGUCCCGCAACGAGCGCAACCCCUAUUGUUAGUUGCCAUCAUUCAGUUGGGCACUCUAGCGAGACUGCCGGUAAUAAACCGGAGGAAGGUGGGGAUGACGUCAAAUCAUCAUGCCCCUUAUGACCUGGGCUACACACGUGCUACAAUGGUCGGUACAGAGGGUUGCCAAACCGCGAGGUGGAGCUAAUCUCACAAACCGAUCGUAGUCCGGAUCGCAGUCUGCAACUCGACUGCGUGAAGUCGGAAUCGCUAGUAAUCGUGAAUCAGAAUGUCACGGUGAAUACGUUCCCGGGCCUU